rnacentral:rRNA from 1 species
UACGUAGGGUCCGAGCGUUGUCCGGAUUUAUUGGGCGUAAAGAGCUCGUAGGCGGCUUGCUAAGUCAGGUGUAGAAACCUCCAGGCUCGAACCUGGAGCCGCCAACCUGAUACUGGUAUGGCUAGGAGUCCGGUAGGGGACCACGGAAUUUCUGGUGUAGCGGUGAAAUGCGUAGAUAUCAAGAAGGGAACCAUCAGUGGCGAAAGCGGCUUCCUGGACCAAGAACUGGACGAGUCAAGGCUCGAAAGCGUGGGGAGCAAACAGG